rnacentral:misc_RNA from 1 species
AGCGAAUCCAGCAGCAGAAGCAGCAGCAGCAGCUCAGCCGCCGCCGAUGGCGUCCACGAUCAUGGCCCCAACCUCCCGCGUCCUCGCCGCCAAGACCCCCUUCCUCGGCCAUCCCCGCCCCUCCAAUGCCCCCGUCCGCGACAUCGCCGCCGCCGCCACCGGCCGCAUCACCAUGAGCAAGGAGCUGUGGUACGGGCCGGAUAGGGUGAAGUACCUGGGGCCAUUCUCGGCGCAGACGCCGUCGUACCUGAGGG